UUAGCAGCGUAUUCUGCGAUGGCAGAGCAGGCAGCGAGCAGGAGCAGGGCUGGGGAAGGGCUGCCACCUUCGCAGCCACCAGCCCCCCAGCUUUGCACUGCAAAACCCGUUUCCCUUCCUGGCCCUGCGUGUCCUGUAUCUGCAGCAGGAUCCCAUGACUGGUACCCCUUGAUCACUGAUGCUGGACUAGCCCCAUACCCCUUUCACAGGCUAAAGAGGAAUUGUUUUCUGUGACAGCAGGAGAGCAUGGGCUGAGAAAAUGAGCACCCCUGGUAUCCCGAUGAAGUUUUUGUCUGCAACUUACAAGCGAUAUGACUUCAGGCAAGUGGGCCUCAGUUUCCUUAUCUAUAAUAUGGGGAUAGAAGUAAGAUUACCGAUCUUCCUUAUGGAUGUGGUGAUACUUGAAAGGGAUAAAUAAUUUAUGAUACUUGGCCGAGUUGCUGUGCUCUGGGCCCCGGGGUUGCUAUCGUGGUGGGAAGUGGCUUGGCUCUGGCCCUUUCCCUCUCAUUUCUGCACCAUCUCACCCCCUGGGUCAGGCUCCUCCCCCACAGGGGCUCUUUUUCCCUUCCCUGUUGAAACUGACUCAUGCGGAGGGGUCUGUCUGAACCGGUUCAAUCUUAGUGUGAACAUAUGUGAUCUCUCCUAGGAGAAUGGUCUCAAACUUUUUAAACUGUGACUCAGAACAAAAUAUAUUUUACAUAGUGGCUGAGAAACACACGUUAUCAGUAGAUAAAACAGCAAGGUAAGUUUCAUGAGAUAAUACUUACCCAAACCAAGUGGGAUGGUUGCUUUUAUUUUCCCAGUGUCAUUUUAUUUUAUUUUAUUUUAAAUUUUUAUUCUAAUUUGUCAUAUAUGACAGCAGAAUGAAUUACAAUUCAUAUUAUAUAAGUAGAGCAAAUUUUUUUCAUCUCUCUGCAUGUGUACAAAGUAUAUUCAUACCAUUUUUGUCUUUUUCAUACAUGGACUUAGGGUAGUACCAUCUUGUUCCACCAUCUUUUUUUACCCCCUUGAUCCCUCCCUCCCCCUCCUUCCCCUUUGCCCUAUCUACAGUUUGUCUAAUCCUCUCAUGCUCCCCCUCCCAACCCCACUAUGAAUCAGCCUCCUUAUUUCAGAGAAAACAUUCAGCAUUUGGUUUUUGGGGAUUGGCUAACUUCACUUAGCAUUAUCUACUCCAACUCCAUCCAUUUACCUGCAAAUGCCAUAAUUUUAUUCUCUUUUAUUGCUGAGUAAUAUUCCAUUUUGUAUAUAUACCACAUUUUCUUUAUCCAUUCAUCUACUGAAGGGCAUCUAGGUUGGUUCCACAGUUUAGCUAUUGUGAAUUGUGCUGCCAUAACCAUUGAUGUGGCUGUGUCCCUGUAGUAUGCUGUUUUUUAGAUCCUUUGGGUAUAGACCAAAGAGUGGGAUAGUUGGGUCAAAAGGUGGUUCCUUUCCCAGUUUUCCAAGGAAUCUCCAUAUUGCUUUCCAUAUCAGCUGCACCAUUUUGCAGUCCUACCAGCAAUGCAUGAGUGUGCCUUUUCCCCCACAUCCUUGCUAACACUUAUUGCUUGUAUUCUUUUUUUUAAAAAAAAAAUGUUUUUUAGUUAUAGGUGGACAUAAUGUAUUUGUUUUACUUUAUGUGGUGCUGAGGAUCAAACCCAGUGCCUCACUCAUGCUAAGCGAGUGCUCUACCUCUGGAGCCACAACCCCAGCCCAGUUGUUGUUUGUAUGUUUAAUAGCUGCCAUUCUGACUGGAGUGAGAAGAAAUCAAAACUACUGUUUUGAUUUGCAUUUCUCCAAUUGCUAGAGAUGUUGAACAUUUUUUUAUAUAUUUGUUGACUGAUUGUAUAUCACUUUCUGAGAAGUCUCUGAACAGAAGUCUCUGCCCAUUUAUUGACUGGGUUAUUGUUUUUUUUGAAAUUUAGCUUUUUGAGUUCUUUAUAUAUCCUAGGGAUUAGUGCUCUAUCUGAUGUGUGAGUGGUUAAAAUUUGCUCCCAAGCUGUAGGCUCUCUAUUCACCUCACAUAUUUUUUUUUAAUAUUUAUUUUUUAGGUGUAGAUGGACACAACACAAUGCCUUAAUUUCCAUGUGGUACUGAGGAUAGAACCUGGGUCCCGCCCGUGCUAGGCGAGCGCUCUACCGCUGAGCCACAAUCCCAGCGCCCCCCACCCCAGAUUGUUUCUUUUGUCGAGAAGAUGCUUUUUAGUUUGAAUCCAUCCCAUUUAUUAAUUCUUGAUUUUAAUUCUUGUUCUAUAGGAGUCUUAUUAAGGAAGUAGGGGCCUAAUCUGAUAUGAUGGAGAUUUGGGCCUAUUUUUUCUUCUAUUAGACACAGGGUCUCUGGUUUAAUUCCUAGGUCCUUGAUCCACUGUGAGUUUUGUGCAUAGUAAGAGAUAGAUAGAUAGAUAGAUAGAUAGAUAGAAAGAUCAAUCUGUAUAAUGCUUUUGGUAGUAUGGUCAUUUUGACAAUAUUAAUUCUGCCUAUCUAGGAACCAGGGAGAUCUUUCAAUCUUCUAAGGUCUUCUUAAUUUCUUUCUUUGUUUUUAAAUAUUUUUUUUGGUUGUAGAUAUAAACAAUAUCUUUAUUUAUUUAUUUUUACAUGGUUCUGAGGAUCAAAUCCAGGGCCUCACACAUGAGAGGCAGACGCUCUACCACUGAGCCCCAGCCCCAUUAAUUUCUUUCUUUAGUGUUCUGUAGUUUUUGUUGUAGAGGUCUUUCACCUCUUUUGUUAGGUUGAUUCCUAAGUGGGAUGCUUGCUUGCUUUUUUUUUUUUUUUUUUUUUGGUACUGGGGAUUGAACCCAGGAGAGCUUUACUGUUACUGGAAGCUCGGUCCUUGUCCCUGAUGCCACUCCAAUAAAGAGGACAGUUUUUUUGUUUUUUCAUUUUUUAAUUUUUAUUUAUUUUUAUUAUUGGUUGUUCAAAACAUUACAUAAUUCUUGACAUAUCAUAUUUCAUACAUUUGAUUCAAGUGGGUUAUGAACUCCCAUUUUUACCCCGUAUACAGAUUGCAGAAUCACAUCGGUUACACAUCCACUGUUUUACAUAUUGCCAUACUAGUGUCUUUUGUAUUCUGCUGCCUUUCCUAUUCUCUACUAUCCCCCCUCCCCUCCCCUCCGCUCCCAUCUUCUCUCUCUACCCCAUCUACUGUAAUUCAUUUCUCCCCCUUGUUUUUUUUUCCUUUCCCCUCACUUCCUCUUAUAUAUAAUUUUGUAUAACAAUGAGGGUCUCCUUCCAUUUCCAUGCAAUUUCCCUUCUCUCUCCCUUUCCUUCCCACCUCUCGUCCCUGUUUAAUGUUAAUCUUCUUCUCAUGCUCUUAAGAGGACACAGUUUUGAGAAAAGGAAAAAGAAGGUUUAUUUCUUUACUAGCAAAGGAGAAGCAUAAGGGUCUCCUGUCCCAGAGACUGGGAUUAUGCCCAUCUAGGGGAGCAAGGGGCUUCUAAAGAGGUGGUUCCAAGGCUGCGUUCCAUGGGCUUUCUGUUGAGUUGUAAUCACUUGUUAAUUUGCGAGACAGUAAUUUAAAAAUAAGUGGCAGCGGCAGAGCAGCAAGAGUUAUAUUUAAAACAAAAAGUGGACCAUUGUUACAAAGCCACUGAGCUACAUCCCAGCCCUUUUAAUUAAUUAAUUUACUUUUUAUUUUGAAAAGGGCCUGGCUAAUUAGCUGAGGCUGGCUUCGAAAUUGCAGUCCUCCUGCCUCAGCCUCUCAGUUGCUGGGAUUACAGGCGUGUGCCCUGACACCCAAGUGGGAUGCAUUCUGAUCUGUUCUGUCCUCUUCCCUUUCCUUUUCUAUCAUAUAGUCUUCUAUUUAUAUCAUAUAAUAUAUAUAUAUAUAUAUAUAUAUAUAUAUAUAUAUAUAUGUAAACUACAGAACAUAAUAGUCAAUAUGCAAUAUGUAUUAUUUAUAUACAUGUUUUAUUCUACUUAUGUUAUAUUUUAUAUAGAAUAGUUUUGAUAAUUUGCCAAAGAUCAGGAUCCAUUAAACUGAAUUAAUGGCCCAACCAGGGUUAAGAUAUCCAGUGUGGAAAAAAAGUGUCCCAGGAGGAAAAGGCCCUCAUCUCUCAUUAUGGAUCAGAAGUCUCUGUUCUUUGUUAAAGGGAUUCUUAAGUAGUUAAUGGGAAAGAGAAUUCCGAAAAGCUGGAAGCUUUUCUUAAAAGCCACAGAGAUUUAAUGGUGGAAAUAAUCUGAGUCUCUAUUCGUGAUAAGGGUGAGAUUUUGUUUGUUUGUUUGUUUGUUUGUUUUGGUACUGGAGAUUAAACCAAGUAGCACUUUGCCAUGGAUCCACAUCUUUGGCCUUUUUUAUUUUGAGACAGGGUUUGGCUAAGUUGCUGAGGGUCUUGCUAAACUGCUGAGACUGGCUUUUAACUCAUGAUCUUCCUGACUUAGCCUUCCAAGAUGCUGGGACUACAGGCAUUUUUCCACCAGGCCCAGGGAUGGUGAGUUUUUCUAUGAGUUUUUGGGAGCUUCAGAAUCAAACUAUUCCCAGAAAAACAGGAGGUCACCCAUCCUUUGCUGCUACACCAACCUGCAGGGUGACUUUUCCUUAGCUUGGGUUCCAACAAAUCUCACAAAUGCCAGGAUACCUAGACACCAAGGAAGCUCAAGAUUUAUGUAGACUCAGCCAGACAGGAAAUGCUUUGAGCUAGGCUUAUGCCUAUGGUUUUUUUCCAUAAAAGAAUCAGGGCAUGUGGCCUCAUAUGUACUUAUAAGGACAAUAGGAUAAAAUAUUUAAAACUGGAACUGUCCUGGAAAGUCCCCAACUUGGGAUCACAUGGUUACCAUGAGAAAUGGAGAAUUUAAUGCCAAGAGAGUCAGAAGGAGGGAAAAGUUCUUCUCUCAAGACCCAGGUCUUGCCCUCUGAUAAAUGGGAAGGAAGCUUGUAUUUCCAGAACAUUCUGGAGUAUUUGAAUCUCCUCCAAAUACCUUUGAGGAUGUUCAGUUAUUAAAUAGUUUAAUGAAUCUGUAGGAGGAUUGGAUUCUGAUUGGUAAGAGGAGAAGUAAAGAAUAAAAGAAAAUGAGAAGUUUCAGAAGUGUUUCCUAAUUUUGCUUACAGCUUCUUAAGUUCCCAGCGUCUUGAUCCUUAGUCCUGAUCCCACCCCCCCCUCACUCUCUACCAUAUCCCCACAGUCCCCUCAGCCAAUGCUGCCAUUAACAACCUGACUAUGGCCAAACGUAGCUGUUGUUAUUAAAGAACGAAGAGAGGCUGGGCACAGUGGCUCACACCUGUAAUCCCAAGGGCUCAGGAGGCUGAGGCAAGAGGAUCUCGAGUUGAAAGCCAGCCUCAGCAACUUAGUGAGGCCCUAAGUAACUUAGUGAGACCCUGUCUCUAAAUAAAAUACAAAACAGGGCUUGGGAUGUGGUUCAGUGGUCAAAUGCCCCAGUUCAAUCCCCGUACCCCCACAAAAUAAAAAAAGAAUGAAGAAAGACUGCACUGGGAUAAAAUUACACAAUUGGCUCUUUUCUUCAUGGAUUGGUUCAAUGUAGGAGAGUGACAUAAUAAUCUCCUUGUCAUUUGGGACCUCAAAUGCUGGGGCUCCUCACUUCUACAUUUAGAUUCAGGUUUUUGGAGCUCAAAUAGGAAAAUAGUUUUGUGAAAGGGUCCAUGGACACUCUUCUCCAAUAUUCUUAUCUCACAACUUCUCCUUCCAGCCUGUAUUUGUCAGCUUUUGUUGCUAUAACAAAAUACUGGAGGCUGUGCACUGUAUAAAGAGAAGAGAUUUUUUUUUAGCUCAUAGUCUGGAGGUUUAUAGGUAUGGUGCCAGCAUCAGCUUGGCAAUGGUGAAGGUCUAAUGAAUGUUAGCUUCAUGGAAGACAGCAUGAUGGUAGGAGCACUUGUAAGAGGGAGAGGUCAUGCAGCAGAACAGGAAGCCAGAGAGAGACUGAAGUUCCACAAAAUUACUUCAUUUCUUCUGAGGGAACACCCUAAAUGACUUAAUGAUCUCUCACUGAUAUCCGAUAAAGGUCCCACCACCUUUUAACAUCACUACACUGGGACCAGUCUUCCAACAUAUGAACCUCUGGGGAACAAACCACAUCCAGGCCAUAGUACAGUCCUAGCUUCAUACACUGCUUUGGUCUACACUCCCUAGUAACAUGCAUAGCCAAUGGGGAAUGGUCAUCUCCAGGCCUGAGCCUUUGGUGAGUUCCUCAGAGUGGUUGAAGUGGCACCACAGAAAAGAUGUUGGCUCCAACAAACACUCAACAGUCUACUCUGGGCCCCAGGUGUGGAAGCCAGGUGAGACCAAGAAGCACCUCCUUGGAGACACUUCUGUGAGACCUUCUUCUCCACAGUUCAAGGGAGAAGAAGGGGGAGGGGUAGAGGGAGUCACCUCUCAAGAUCUUUCAAUCCCCAUUGCUGUCAAACCAGUUCAGACCAGCUCCAGCAGCCCCCAACCUCCAAGCCAAAAAUACAAUGCAAAAUCCCCUUAAUCAUUUGCCUGAUUGCUUUGCUCCAAGCUCAGACCCUUCCCACUGUCUUUCUUAGCCCUGCACCUUCUGGAAGCUGUGCCUUUAAUUAAAACCCCUGGCUGCUGCUGCUCUCUGCCAUCUGCCUCUUUUGCCCACUUGUUUCCUAUGUCUGUGUUUCUGGGACUCUAAUUAUCAUUAAAUUAUAGGGUAAUACUAAUAGGGGGGUAAGAACCCAGUUAAUGGCUCACUGUUCCACUAAGCAACAAUUGUAGUAAUCACCAAGCUAAAGGCUCCCGUGCAUUAGCUAGAGGUUGCUGGGGUUUUCUGGCCUACGCUUUCUCCACACCCCCGUCUCAGCAACUGAGUACCGUUCACAGGGAAAACUGAAACCCCAGAGGCAAGUGACAUGGUUGAAAGACUAUGGGGGAAAGCAAGGAAAUUUGAGUCACAGUGAAAGUCGAGGCAAAGGAAAUUAAGUUCAAUGUUUCAAAGAUUUCUUGUAUAAUGAAGCUAAGUAAUGACAAAUUAUUAUUAAAGGAUUUGGGGCUUGACUUUUCAGAAAUAAGAUGAGGCUGGGAGUAUUGGAGUAUUCACUCAGUUUUACCAGAGUCAUUGGAUGGAGUGCACACGUGAGCUAAACAUGCAGCUCUGCAGAGCAAAUCAAUGCCCACAGAUAUGCCAAACAGACGCGUGCCAACAGCGUUGCAGUUCUACUCAAUGCAUUGUGCUGACCUGGAAUAGAAGAAAACCAGGAUGAGUUCCUCACUGCAAGGUGACCACAGUCUGAGAAGGGAGACCAAAUAGAAUCUAAGUAUAAGAUAGACUGACACUUUGAUCCACUUCUCAAUGUAGGAAGCAUUUCACAAGAUCUCAUCUUUAUGCACGCCUGCAUUCUUUUUUUUUUUUUUUAAAGAGAGAGUGAGAGAGAUAGAGGUAGAGAGAGAGAGAAUUUUUUAAUAUUUAUUUUUUAGUAUUUGGCGGACACAACAUCUUUGUUUGUAUGUGGUGCUGAGGAUCGAACCCGGGCCGCACGCAUGCCAGGCGAGCGCGCUACCGCUUGAGCCACAUCCCAGCCCCACGCCUGCAUUCUUUAUGCAGCUCAGGAGGCUGCAUUCUUUAUGCAGCUCUGGCAGGAGGAUCAUGAGUUCAAACCAGCCUCAGCAACUUAGUGAGGUACUUAGCAACCCAGAGAGACCCUGUCUCUAAAUAAAAUACAAAAAAGGACUGGGGAUGUGACUCAGUGGUUGAGUGAGUGCCCCUAAAGUCAAUCACAAGUUAAAAAACAAACAAACAAACUUAUCUUUAAGGAACAUAGAGAUUAUUAUUCUAAUUCUACAGAUGUGGAAACCAAGGCUCAAAAGGGUUUAAGUGACAUAUUUAAUGUCACAUAUGGCCCAAAUUUCUGAAUUCCUUUGACUCUUGCCUCUUCCUGCAAGAAGUCCCCAGCAAUGUUUCAAUCUGCUCUUGAAGAAGUUCUUCCUUGCCACCGCUCCACCAUCUCACACCAGCCCCUGGGCAUGCCAGGAAACAGAAAGGAAGCCCUAAUGGGGCUAGAGUACCAUUCAGGGAUGCCCGAGGCCUUAUAGAGUUUGGUUGAAACAACAAGUCUCUUUCUAAUUAGACCUCCCUCUCCUAGAACUCACACUUGGAUUGGUGAAGGCCUGGUCUGAGAAAUAAACUCAAAUGGUAGAUAAUUCUUAUGUUUGAAAAAUAGAAAUAAAUGUUCCUGUGAAUACUCAAGAUUCGGAUAAUAGGAGUGCUUUAAUUCAAGUUGUAUCAUAAAUCAAAUGUAAUAAGAUGUUAAAAUAGAUAUUUUAGCUGAAUCCCAACUAGAUAUUUAGCUGAAUCCCAACUAGAAGUGCUAAGGAUUUUCAAAGCGGCCAAGAAUAUAUAUGGUACACACACAAAAAAAGUCAAGCGAACAUUUUGGAUGAGAAUUUCUUUGGAGAGAGUUGUGCUGUGAGUCCCACCCCAUCCCUAGCUCAAUCUGAAGUGUCAAGCCUGAGAAACAGAAAUGGUAAGAGGUACAGCAGAAUAGAAGAUUACACAGGGGAACUGUCCUCACAGAGUUGUUGGGGGUAAAUGUGGAAGCUGUGGAUGACAGGUAAGGUUGACCUGGGAUGACCAGAGAUUUUCAUCCAAGAGGGUAGCCUGGAAGGUCAAAGAAAUUUCAGCCAAUGUUAUGCUUGCAUUCGGGAUCCCCAAAAGACCACCAGAGACCAAGAUCAAUGUAAGCAGCAAAGAAGAGCAAGCUCGGUCCUCCGCGCAAACCCAGCAACUGGUGAUGCUGAGAGGCCCCGAGCCCAGGGUUUGCAGCAGUUUUAUACACUCUUUGGGGAAGGCAGGGACUUCACAUACAUCAUAGCUCUUUUAGCAAAUCAUCACAUACUGCCGGAAAAUCAUAAAACAACUCUAAAAUAUGAUUCUCACAUUCACUGGAGGGAACAAGUUGGGUGGGGUGAUUGGUUAGUACAAAAGGGGGAUUCAUUUGAACUGAUUGGUUUAAGCCACAAGGGGAGUACUUGCUGAACUACAUGGUUUCCCAACAUGUUAUCAACCAUGGUUUCCACCAUAAACUACUGGGAGGGUCAUCUGGCAUUCCAGGUAUUUUCCCUAUCUCAUGCUGAUUGGGGGUUGCUAGGGGGUUGCUAUGGGUCCUCACCUAGCCUGACUGAGUCAGGGACACCUAGCUCCGCAGAUCUCUCCUAUUAUUUGUAGAUAAACAACUCAGCAGGGUGGGGAUGUGCCUAGGAGUGCUCGGUGAGUCUUUCCAAGGACAAGGGUCACACCCCCUUCCUUGGACAGGCUUUGCUCUGAGGUAGAGGCUGGUUUUUCACCAAGAGAAGCUGGAGGUGUGACUAGAUUCCUAGGGAGAAGGAAGGAGAAAGAGUUUUGCUGGAGGAAAAUCUCCUGAGCUAAGAGGUCCCAGAAAUAGGGGGUAUGUGUGGUUAUGUGUGCACAAAGCACCAACAAGAUGUCAACAAUAAACACCUGCCAAGUCCAGGGAACAUCGACGCCAAAUCCCCAUAACAGACCCAGCAAGAGGAAAUUUACCUACUUCUUCCUUUUCCAGCGCUUCAAGGAUAAGAAAUCACAGUUCACAAAUGUGGGAGAGCAGAGACAGAAGGGUAACCUCUUCUAGGUGUCCAGCCUGAGCCAAAGGAGAGGGGGAGAAGCCUCAAUUUUAUGUCAUUUGGAGUUUUAUUGAUCAUAUAUAAACAUCUUAAUCACUGCGUUGAGACUAUUCAGACUUAAAGCAACUAAGAAAGAGCUAGAAAUUUGUGGGGUUCAGCGGUAUAGUUGGAUAGGAGGAAUAACCUAAUAUACAAUAGCACUGUAGAAUGACCAUGUUUGAUGGGAAUUCAUUGAAUAUCUCAAAAUAGUAGAGUAGUAGAGAGUGAUUUGCAUAUGUAUCUGGGUACUGGGGAUUGAAUCCAAGGGUUACCACUGAGCUCUGUCUUAGCCCUUUUUUUUUUUCUUUUUUUUUUUUUGAGACAGGUUUCCAGUAAGUUGCUGAGACUGACCUUGAAUUUGUGAUCCUCCUGCCUUGGUCUCUUGUAUGAUACCACACCUGCCUUCGGUGUUUCAAUGUUCCCAACACAAAGAAAUGACAAAUGUCUGAGGUGACAGAUAUGCUGAUUUCCCUGAUUUGAUCAUUACAUGUUGUAUACAUGUAUUAAAAUGUCACAAUGUCCCCCUUAAAUAAGUAUAAU
rnacentral:lncRNA from 1 species